UCUUUGACAUUGUUUUCUCACUCUUUAGAUCCUUUGCUAUAUGCCCUACGUUUUACCCUCGAUUUAUCCAUGGGUCAUAGCAAAAUCCAUCAUUUUGGCCCCAAAAUUUGACCUCGACUUAUACAUACUCAUAGUCAAGUGUAUACGGUAUGUUCCAAUUUGGACAAUAGCAUUGUUUGAGUUUACAUGGGUAAACAAAAAGAGUCUCUUACUUCACAUAGUAUACCAAUUGCUCACUGGUGCCAUGAGCAGAAAGACACUGUUGUGUCUUUUUCCUUCUUGUGAGCUUUCCAGACACAUCUUGUUGGCCUUUGUGGGAACAGAACAGCAAUAGCAAGUACGUUUCUAUCCUGCUUCUCAGUGCACUUAAGCACUCCCUAAGCACUUUGCAAUGUGUAAGCUAAUUGCACCCAGCAACCUGAGGACUCAUUUUAGCAACCUCCUCUGAAGGAUGCAAGCCUGAGUCGAGCUUCAACCCUUGGCUGGUCUUGAACUCGCAACCUUGCAGAUUGUGAGUUGGGCUAGAUGCACCUUUGCUCUGAACUGCAUGGCUCAUUCUCUGCUAACUUCUUUCGUCUGUUACAGACUUCAGCCUUUGAUAGGAGUGUGAACAGCCAGCAUUACAUAGUGGUUUAAGUAUUGGACUACAACUCUGAGAGACCAGGGUUCAAAUCCCAACUCAGUUGUGGAAAAUGUAUUGUAUCACUUUGGGCAAGUCACACUCUCACCCUCGGAGGAAGAAAAGGCUGGACAUAAGUUGGAGUCCACUUGAAAUCACAUAACCAGAGCUUGGAAGAAGACUAUAGCUCCCAGGCUCCUCUCAGUGUGGGAUAGGCAAUUCUGUCAGCAGUUUUUGAAAGUGCUGCUGUCAAUGUUGUGCUUUGAUGUUAAAACAUCUUUUUGUAGAAUGGUGUCUCAGGAAGCAGAGCUGAUGGCAGACUAUUCACCUGUGCCUACUUUUGUAAGAUUACAUAACUGUUGUAUAACCAUACAUGUUUUAACUUGUUUUCUGUCCAAAGAGAAUAAAGUUGCUUUUAAAAA